rnacentral:rRNA from 1 species
CCUCGGAUUUAGAAACCGAUGACUAAAGCCGUAAGGCGCUUUGGGAGGGACCUGCGUCCCAUCAGCUAGUUGGUGAGGUAACGGCCCACCAAGGCUACGACGGGUAGGGGACCUGAGAGGGUGGCCCCCCACAAUGGAACUGAAACACGGUCCAUACACCUACGGGUGGCAGCAGUAGGGAAUAUUGCACUGGGCGAAAGCCUGAUGCAGCAACGCCGCGUGAGCGAUGAAGGCCUGGGUCGUAAAGCUCUUUUCUGGGAGAUGAGAAAGGACAGUAUCCCAGGUAAGUCUCGGGCCAGCAGCCGCGGUAACACGUA